GAGAAAGAAAAUUUAUCAUUAUUUUCUCAGUCAAUCAUACAACCUCUACCAAAUUAGAAAAAUGUUAAAAUUUAUUUAUUUUUAAUUAAUAAUUACAUAAAAUUUCUCUCUCUAUAUAUAUAUAUAUAUAUAUAUUCAUAUUUUUCGGGCCUUUAAUAUUUGGGACCUAAGGCAAAGGUUUCACUUUUUUUUCUUCUUCAAUUGCCUUACCAUGGAAUCGCUCUUGCACUGGAACAACAACAACCAUAAAAUGCUGACUCACAAACUUCGCUAAAGCUCGUAUAUGAAUCUGCACAUGGAGUGUAGGAAGGGAUCAACUGUUUGAUAUAAAUUUUGUGCUUAAUAGUGUCGGGCAGUUCGAAGGACCCGUAUUAAUUAAGGUCGAAAGAAUUUGGUUUGCCAAAGAAGCCAUAGUUCCAGCUUUUAUGUAUGCCGCACCUGUCUUUCUUUUGGAUUUUGAAGGUCUUUCUUGACUUAUGUUUAUCGGAAUCUGUAAAGAACAAAAAUUAAAAUAGGGGGAAAGACUUAGAUAUGAGUACCAAACUGAUAUAAAUGUCAAAAUGAGAAGGAAAAAUGAGCAUAUGCUAGCUGCUAGUUCAUUGUUUAUAGUAUUUCUUUUUUUAAAAGAAGCAGCCUCUUUAAGUAGUAUACUUUGGUUCCUUUCUAACAACAAGAAAUGUUUUCGACUACAUGUUUCACAUAGAAAUAGAGAAUAUAACGUUAUAUAUUAUCAGGCAUCAUCUAACCUGUAAAGAUGCAAUACUACUUCAAAUGUCAGAAUAAGAAAGAAAAAUGAGCAAAUACUAACUGCUUCUUCAUUCUUAUAAGACUACAAAGUAGAUAUAGAUUCAAAUGGAGUUCAAACACCAAGGUCAUAUGCAAGAACUGCUUGGAUAUAAUAAAAGCUUGGAAUUGAAAUAAACUAAUCUUGAACUGAAACAUAUUAAAAUAGCUCCAUGUAUCAGACUAUUGCAUCAAAUACUUAGCAUAUUACAAAAGCAUGGAACUGAAACAGACUACAAAUGCCAAGAACAUACAAGAACAAAAAUUGUUCGAAAGAAGGCAAUAAAGUUCAAAAUACAAAUAAAAAUGAGAAGUUCCUUCUUCAAUCAUCAGCAUCCAUCCAAUUCCAAUCAGUAUCAUCAAAAUCAUCCUCAUUUUCUGAUAUAUCCAUAAUUGUAUCUUGUGAAUGUUGUACAACAGCUGGCAUAUCAAUGACAUCAAGAGGUAAAUCUUCUCUCGACCAUCUAACAUCAAUAUCGGCUACUCUAGUUGAUGGACCGACUUCAUCAUUAGGCUCCCUCCAAAAAGUCUCCCCAACAUUAGGAAUAUUCUCUUCCUCCAAAUCAUACAAAUCAACAUGGGCUUUAUUCCUUGCAUAAUAAACAUCUUUCUCAAUUGGAUCCUCCACAUAAAAAACUUGAUUUACUUGAGUUGCCAAUACAAAAGGGUCAUCAGUACUACAUAGUCGGUUAAAGUAUACCCAGGAUAACCUAUAUUCAUCUACUUCAUUACGAAACCAAUCACAUCUAAACAGUACAACACUAAAGUAACUCCAAUAAUCAAUCUCAAUGAUAUACUGAAUAGCUCUAUAGUAGAGAACCUCUCCAUCGAUGGGAUUUUGGUCCCGAGCACUAGUAAAACUAUCAGUUGUUGCUGACAAAGUCACUCCACUAUUCUGAGUCUUUAACGGGGCAUCCCGCGUCAUUGUAUGAAAUAAUUAACUAUUAAUAAAAUAUCAAGUAUAUCAUUUUUCCAAUGUAUUAGGCCCCUUAGCUAGCCCAUUGCAAAUGAUUGGGCACUUCACUACUUUUAACUUCUCUUUAAACCAAUCGGCGAAGUUCCGACUAUAAUUCCUUGCUCUUACCCUAUGCAUUUGAUCUAGUACGAUAAUCAAUUAAAUUUUUAUGUUCCCUGCAAGCCAUAUAUUUCAAAUUUAAUCAUUAGUCCUAUAUGAAUUAAGUUUAGAAAUUAUAAGAUAUAAAAUAAAUGAAGAAUAUAAUACAAGUGAUGGUAAUAUAUUUUAUCUUACAUGAUAAAUGCCUCCACUUAUUCAUCUCCAGCAUUGAAUAGAGCAUAUCUAUGCGCCUCAGAACAUAACUGCAAAUCCAUGGAAAAAAUCUUUCUUUUUCUCUUAUUCUUACUUCCAAUUAGAUGGCCUAUUUUAGGAAAUAUAGGUGACAAAUUUGCUCCCUCAAUGUCCCCAUAAUCCUCAGUUUGGUACCUACUGAAUCUUGUCUUCAUCCCAUCAUGUAGAUAUCUCGAACAAAAAGUCAAGCACUCUUCAGCCAGAAACCCCUCUGCAAUUGACGCUUCUGGGUGAGUUCGAUUAAGAACAAGCGCCUUAUACUUGCAUAAGUUUCUUUCAGUGGAAUACAUCCAGCGUUAAUGAGUUGGACCCCCAAGCUUAAAUUCAUUUAUUAAAUGGAUAGGCAAAUAAGGCAUUAUAUCAAAAUAGGUUGGAGUGAAAAAUAUUUCAAGUUCACAUGUAAUAUCAUUGAUUUCAGUCUGCAAUCUAUCAAGAUCCCCUCGCCUUAUAACCUUAGCACAUAUGGAUCUAAAGAAGUUUCCCAACCUAAUCAAUGCCAAAGAAACAUUCUUGGGUAACAAUUUUUUAACAGCAAUUUGGAGCAAGUAGUGUAUUAUAAAAUGAGCAUCAUGACUCUAGUACCCGGAUAUUUUCAUCUCUUUCUCAUGCACACAACGUAAAAUAUUUGAGGCACACCCUUUUGGUAAUUUAGCAUUUUUAAAGACGGAGCAAAAUUGCCUCUUCUCUUCUAGAUUCAUGUAGAAACAAGCUUUAGCCAAAGAAAUUGUUCCACUUGCAAUAUCUUUUAUUGGUUGAAGCUGUUUUCGUAUUCCCGUUUCUUGCAAAUCGUAGCGAGAAUUUACAUGAUCUUUUGACUUUCCAUCUAUCUCCAAUAAUGUCCCAAGAAUACUAUCAUAUAUAUUCUUUUCAAUGUGCAUAGAAUCAAGAUUGUGCCUUAAUUUGUUAGUUUUCCAAUAUGGUAAUCCAAAGAAGAUGGAUCUUUUCUUCCAUGGACCCUUCCCAAGACCUUUUCUUUUGGCCCUUUCCAAAGACAUUCUUGAAUUCACUCAGCUCUUCGAGCUCUUCUGUACCCGACAAGUGAUGGUAGGCUAUAAUUACAUAUUUUAGUCGCUUAUUGCACCCUAAACCACUGCACUUUAUUUAUGUUUGAGCUUUAAUUGGUAGUGUUUUGCACUUAUUAUGUGUUUUAUUCCUUGCAUGAGCGAUUCCGAGCUAUGUAGAUGUUAUAAAAUGAAUUCGAGCUAUUUGGAGUUUUGAAGUCUAAGUAAAAGCCCAAGGGAUUAAGCCGGGAUCGUAUUCGGGGGUCGAGUACCAAGUCUGAACAUCAAAACAUAAGCAAAAUCCGUACUCUGAGAAAAAUGGCUUGCUGCAGCAUGUGGGGAAGCAUGUGGGGCGCCACACUAGUGUAAAUCUCUGUUGUCUGUCAGAAAUCAAUUCUCCCCACUAAUGCCCCGUAUGGCGUGAUACCCCAUGUGGCGUGCCUGUGCAAAUUUUGCACAAUAAAUGUCCUAUUUCGGCUAGAAAAAGGUGAUUUCAUCUAGGCCCGACCCUACUUGGUAUAAAUACAUGUAAAACAUUAUUUUCUGGACUUUUGACACAUAUUCGACCUAAGGAGGCUAAGGAGGAGUUGGAAGAACACGAGCAAAAGGAUUUCAUCAGUCCUUCCUCACUCAAGACACGAGUUUGGAUUGAAUUUAUAUUUUCCUAUAGUUUAACUUUAUUUACGAUGAAUUGCUCCAUAUCUAUGGAGUAGUUCUCUUUAGGGUUUGAUGGAUCUGGUAUUUUGAUGAUUGUUUGUGGAUCAUAACUCUAAUUUUAUAUAUUGAAGCAUUUUUGGAUGAUUUAACCGUUGCAUCUAUAUUCACAUGUUCAUGUAAUCCAGGGAGGCAUAACUUGUGAUAUCCUUGCAUUAUAUUGUUGGUUGAGUUCAGAAAUUCUUCUUAGGAAUCGAAAGAGGCUAGUUGAAUCAUUGAUUAAACUUAGUUAGGAGGAUAAUCGAGAGAGGUUCUCCUAAAGACCAAUCCACUACGCAUUCUUGCAUAUCUUCACGUGCUUAAAUUGAUUCAUCUUGUAAGGUUAAGACUAAAUCGAGAGAGGAGUUUUUGCUGAACGCUUGAACUAAUAAUAGAGUGAAUUCGAGAGACUCACUCGAACAUUAGAAGUGAAUUAUCUAGAGUUAGAUCCCAAACAUUUAUCUUGCACCUAUCCUAUCAACCCCUAUUUCCGUCCACUGAUAUCUUCCUUUCUUAUCUUUGUUUUGAUUGUCAUUAGCCAAUAGUUUUAGAUUCUUUGUUAAUUUUAGUUAGGCAUCUUAUAAAUCUCAACUGUUGAUCAUCUUGGAUAGCAACCAAGCUAGAAACUACGAGAAUACUGUUUAAAUCCAAUCCUUGUGGAUACGAUAUUAUACUAUACUAUAUUUGACUAGCGAGUAGAACUUAAGUGUGUGUUUUACGCUCGUCAAAUUUUGGCGCUGUUGCUAGGGAUUUUUAAUCAAUAGUGUUUGAAAUAGUUUGUAGUGCUAAUUCUGAAAUUUUUCUUUUUUUCCUUUUUACGUUUGGUGAUCUUUGACUGUGCGCAGGUUACAGGUUGAGGUUGGUGUAUGACUAGAGAUUCUGCAAAAGAAGUGUUACCAUACGAGCCGGAAAUUAAAAAACAACUGUGACAAUUGAGGAAGGAAAGAAAUCUCACCGAGAUGUUAGAAAAGGUUGGGCAAUACUCAACCAAAGAUACUAUGGCCAGAAAUGUCGAUGACAAUGUGGAUUUGGCUGCAAGUGAGGCAGCCUAACCACGAGAACAAGCUGCACGAGAUGCUGAAGCAGCAGCUAUUAGAGAUGCACAGAUUAUCAUGAAGAAAAGAGGGAUCGUAGAAUUACUCAAAAUCAACCCUUGGCUACAGACCAGUUCGGAAAUAUAGCUCCCGGGCCUGGGAGACCACUUGGUGAUUAUGCUAGACCGGUCUACAAUCAAGGUUUAUCAAGUGUUAGACCACCUCCAAUUGCAGCAAACAAUUUCUAGGCAAGGGUUGCUUCAAACCCUUUAGAAUUGUUGUGUCUUUAGAGGGAAGCCAAACUAAGAUCCAAAUACACAUCUAAUAGACUCCGAGUAGAUUACGAACACCUUUAAAUACAAUGGUGUGUCACAAAACGUAGUGUAUUUAAGGGCAUUCCUUUUUUCUCCUAAAGAUGAUGCAAAGCAGUGGCUUCGAAGCUUGCCCACUGGAUUAAUUAGAACUUGGGAGGAGAUGACCAGAAUUGUUUUUGAUAAAUACUUCUCCUCAGCUAAGACAGGCAAGUUUAGAAGAGAAAUCCAUAACUUCUGCUAGAAUGAUACUGAAACUGCUUUUGAAGCAUGUGAGAGGUUUAAGGAGAUUGUCCAAAAGCGUGAACAUAGCGGAAUUAAACUCUGGAUGCAACUCCAGGACUUUCGGGAUGGAUUGACACCGGCUUCACGUAGAACAUUGAGCAAUGCAGCUGAAGGCCCAUUGAUGAAGAAGACUCCAGAGGAGAUAGUUACAAUUAUUGAUGAGUUAUCUAAAGAUGCUAAUCAAUGGCCGUCUGAGAGUGCUGAAAAAAGAAGAUCAACUGGUAUUCACCAGGUUGAUGCUAAUAUAUCAGUGCAGGUACAACUUGAUGCGAUGGCCAAAGAGAUAAGGAGCUAACCUUUGCCUCGAUACAAAGUGAGCCUUACGCAACUUGUGAUAUAUGUGGAAGAGGACACCCUACUCAUAAUUGUCAAGCCUCAAUUAAGGAAGUAAAUGUUGUGGGAAACUACAAUUUCAAUGCAAUGGGUCAGAAGCACCCUGGUUUUUUAUGAAGUUCACCUGGAGGUACUGUGAAUGCUUGGCAAUAAGACAACUCUAGACCCAGGAACAAGGAGCUCCAGCGUACCAAAAUUAGCAGAGGCAGCAAUUUUAGCCUCAACAGCCCAAUCAGCUUAGUCUAGAAGAUCUCAUGAAGGCCUUCAUUGUAAAAACUGAUGAAGAUUUGAAGUACAAGGGGCAGCUAUUCGAAAUUUAGAGAAGCCGGUGGGACAAAUUGCAACAAUAUUAUCUGAUAGGCUUCCAUACACUCUCCCUGCUGAUAUUGAGAGAAAUCCCAAAGAAACGGCGAAUGUUGUGACCUUGAAAAGUGGGCCAGUAUUGAAAGACCCCACCCCGAUCCAAAACGAUGUGAAACUUGAAAAAGAAAUUGGGGAGCAACUGAAUGAAGGUGAUAAAAAGAAGAAGGGCCAGAUAAAAGCUGAGAAAAGGAAGAAGGGAGAAACUUCGAUAGGGGAGGAACAUGAUGAGAGUGAGCAUAUGCAUGAUCUACCUUUCCCUCAAAAGCUAUGUAGAGAAAAAAUGGAGUGGCAGUUUGCGAGAUUUCUGGAUGUACUAAAACAGGUUCAUAUAAAUUUUCCAUUCACAGAAGGGCUCUCACAAAUGCUUACUUAUGCAAAUGUUUUGAAGGGGAUCCUUACAAAGAAAAGGAAAUCCAGGAGACCUCAGUGGUGAAGCUCAGGGAGCAUUGCAACACGAUAUUACAAAAUAAACUCCCACAAAAGUGUGGAGAUCCAGUGAGUUUUACUAUACCUUGCAUUGUAAGAACUAUUCAUUUUGAUAAAUCAUUAUGUGAUUCUGGUGCCUCAAUUAAUUUAAUGCCUCUAUCUAUUUACAAGAAAGUAAGAAACUAGAGAAGGAUAUUAGAGAGAUAAGGUCGGUGUCAAUUUCUUUGCAACUGGCAUACAAAACGACUUUAAUACCCGAGGAGAUAGUGGAAGAUGUGUUAGUUCGGGUGAAUAAGUUUGUAUUUUCUGUGGAUUUUAUAGUGGUGAAUAUGGAUGAGAAUACCCACCAUCCUAGGAUGACUAUUCUUAGCAACGGGUAGAGCAAUAUUGGAUAUACACGAGAGAAAACUCAUGCUUAGAGUGGGCGAGGAGACUGUGACAUUCAAGAUUGGACUAGAAAAGGGGGCACAAAAAGAAAAAUCAGCUGAUAGUGUUAAGUGAAAAGUGAAGGGUUCAAAAGAGAAGGAUGUGGCGAGUGAGAAAGAUAAGUGUGGGGUGUACCCCAAAAAGGCUGAGAAGAAGUUGUCUGCAUGGAUGUGUGCAUUAGUUCGAAGGCGAGGAAUAGAGCCCGACUUCGACUCAAACCCCGACUAGAUGUUCAGGGAAGUUUCAUUUAUCUUAUGCUUUUUUUAUUGUGUCAUGAGGACAUGACACAACUAAAAGUGUGGGGUGGGGGAUAUGUUGUAUAUAUGUAUGUAUAUUGGUUUUAGUCUUUGUUGUUUUAGUAGUUGGAAAUUGAAAAAAAAUCAUAAAAACUUUAAAUUUUUUGAUUUUUUCCCUACGAUGGAUAUCAUUCGGCAGGUUUCUUGAGGGAUUAAAGUCAAAAGAAAAGUUAUGUAGAACAAGCAUAACUGUUUGGAGCUUUGAAGUUUGAGUAAAAGCCCAAGGGAUUAAGCCGGGAUCGUGUUCGGGGGUCGAGGACCAAGUCUGGACGUCAAAACGCAAGCAAAAUCCGUACUCUAAGAAAAAUGGCUUGCCGUGGCGCGUGGGGCACCGCGCUAGUGCAAAUCUCUGUUGUCUGUCAGAAAUCAACUCUCUGGAUUUUCCCACUAAUGCCCCGCAUGGAGCGUUUCCGCAUGCGGCGCGCCUGUGCAAUUUUUACAGAGAAUGUCCUAUUUCGGCUAGGAAAAGGUGAUUUCGUCUAGGCCCGACCCUACUUGGUAUAAAUACAUGGAAACACGUAAUUUUCUGGACUUUUGACACAUAUUCGACCUAAGGAGGCUAAGGAGGAGUUGGAAGAACACGAGCACAAGGAUUUCAUCAUUCCUUCCUAACUCAAGAUACGAGUUUGGAUCGAAUUUAUGUUUUCCUAUACUUUAACUUUAUUUGCGAUGAAUUGCUCCAUAUCUAUGGAGUAGUUUUCUUUAAGAUUUGAUGGAUUUGGUAUUUUGAUGAUUGUUUGUGGAUCAUAACUCUAAUUUUAUGUAUUAAAGCGUUUUUGGAUGAUUUAACCGUUGCAUCUAUAUUCACUUGUUCAUGUAAUUGAGAGAGGCAUAACUUGUGAUAUCCUUGCAUUAUAUUGUUGGUUUGAGUUCAGAAAUUCUUCUUAGUAAUCGAAAGAGGCUAGUUUAAUCAUUGAUUAAACUUAGUUAGGAGGAUAAUCGAGAGAGGUUCUCCUAAAGAUCAAUCCAUUAAGCAUUCUUGCAUAUCUUCACGUGCUUAAAUUGGUUCAUCUUGUGAGGUUAAGACUUAAUCGAGAGAGGAGUUUUUGCUGAACGUUUGAACUAAUAAUUGAAUGAAUUCNNNNNNNNNNNNNNNNNNNNNNNNNNNNNNNNNNNNNNNNNNNNNNNNNNNNNNNNNNNNNNNNNNNNNNNNNNNNNNNNNNNNNNNNNNNNNNNNNNNNNNNNNNNNNNNNNNNNNNNNNNNNNNNNNNNNNNNNNNNNNNNNNNNNNNNNNNNNNNNNNNNNNNNNNNNNNNNNNNNNNNNNNNNNNNNNNNNNNNNNNNNNNNNNNNNNNNNNNNNNNNNNNNNNNNNNNNNNNNNNNNNNNNNNNNNNNNNNNNNNNNNNNNNNNNNNNNNNNNNNNNNNNNNNNNNNNNNNNNNNNNNNNNNNNNNNNNNNNNNNNNNNNNNNNNNNNNNNNNNNNNNNNNNNNNNNNNNNNNNNNNNNNNNNNNNNNNNNNNNNNNNNNNNNNNNNCUCACUUGAACAUUAGAAGUGGAUUAUUUAGAGUUAGAUCUCAAAUAAUUAUCUUGCACCUAUCAUAUCAACCCUUGAGGGGUUACUCUAGUGGUGAGCACCCUCCACUUCCAACCAAGAGGUUAUGAGUUCGAGUCACCCCAAGAGCAAGGUGGGGAGUUCUUGGAGGGAGGGAGCCAAGGGUCUAUCAAAAACAGUCUCUCUACCCCAGGGUAGGGGUAAGGUCUGCGUACACAUUACCCUCCCUAGACCCCACUAGUGGGAUUAUCCUCGGUUGAUGUUGUUGUUGUUGUUGCUAUCCUAUCAACCCUUAUUUCCGCCCACUGAUAUCUUCCUUGCUUAUCUUUGUUUCGAUUGUCAUUAGUCAAUAGUUUUAGAUUCUUAGUUAAUUUCAGUUAGACAUCUUAUAAAUCUCAACUGUUGAUCAUCUUGGAUAGCAACCAAGCUAGAAACUACGAGAAUACUAUUUAAAUCCAAUCCUUGUAGAUACGAUAGUAUAAUAUACUAUAUUUUACUAGCGAGCAAAAUUUAAGUAUGUGUUUUGCGCUCGUCAUCAAGGGAGUGGGCGCAAGUCUAUGAUCCUCCUUACCAUCAAAUGAUUUCUUAUCUCUUCGAAAUGGAUGUUUAGGAGGCAAAAAUGCCCGAUGACCCAUGUAGCACAUCUUACGACUAUGCUUGAGAUAUUGAGUGCAUGUGCCAUAAUUACAAGUGGGGCAUGCAAAUUUCCCCUUUGUGCUCCAUCCAGAAAGCAUUGCUAGUGUAGGAAAAUCACUAAUUGUCCACAUUAAGACUGCACACAGUUGAAACGUCUGGUUAGAUUCAACAUCAAAUGUUUCGACACCGAAUUCCCAUAGUUCCUUCAAUUCAGCAAUUAAUGGUUGUAGGUACAUAUCAAUAUCAUUUCCCGAAGAUGAUGGACCUGGGAUGAUCAUUGAAAACAUUAUAUACUCUGGCUUCAUGCAAAUCUAAGGAUUAUAGUUCAUUAACAUAACAGGUCACGUGCUAUGAGAUAUGCUCAUUGUUCGAAAUGGGUUGAAACCAUCACUUGAAAGACCCAAUCUAACAUUACGAGGGUCGCUAGAAAAUUGAGGGUGCAAGGAGUCGAAAUCCUUCAAAGCAUCACCAUCAACAAGAUGUCUUAUAUUUCCAUCAUUCGGUCGUUCAGGACACAAAUAUUCUCUGAAGCCUAGGAUUCAAUGGAAAGUACCUUAAAACCUUUGCAGGGGUUUUGGACUUUUUAUUAGUCAAGACAUUAACAACAUUCUUCAAUCUAGAAUACCCACACUCAGAAUAAGUAUCUGCAUUUACAUUGUCAUUCCAAAAUAACAUGCAAUCAUUAGGACAUGCAUGUAUUUUUUCAUAAUCAAGACCCAAAUCUUUUAUCAUGCUUGUUGCCUUGUAGAAAGACUCGGGUAGCUGAGAAAAUAGAAAUGCCUCUUUUAACAACUCAUGAACAAGGCAGCCCAACCUCGACGUGUGUGUGUAUAUAUAUAUAUAUAUAUAUAUAUAUAUAUAUAUAUAUUUUAGAUAAUAUAUAUUUUACGAUUCGGUUGUACUUGUUUAAAUGCAUUCAUGGGCAGGGGCGGCCUAACCCUAAAGUAAGUGAAACGCUUGCUUUAGGGUUGGGCUGCCCCUGCCCAUGAAUGCAUUUAAACAAGUACAACCGAAUCGUAAAACCCAGUUUGGAGAAAUUCUCACACACUGGAUAUAAAUCUUGUUUCCCUUCUUCCAUUAAUUUAAAGAAUCUUUUUGCAUCUUCAGAUGGUCCCUCCCUCACCCCUUCAUGUCCCAAAUCAUCAUCAACAUUUCGAAAUGUAUCAUGAAGUAGUCCAUCAAUAUCGUCAUGUAUGUCGGAACCUUCAUCAUUAUUGCUUGGACAUCGAGUCUUUCUCUAGGAAAACUCUUCCCCGUGAAAAACCAAUUUGGUGUAUCCAUGAACAAACCCAUGAACAAUCAAGUGAUCCUCCACCACAUUUCUGUAAUGCCAAAAAUAAUUAGCGCAUUCUUUGCAAGGGCAUAAUAUUUCAUUUCCUUGGGAAGCUCGUUCAAACGCCUUAUCUAGAAAUUCAUUCACCCCUCGUAUGUACUCGUUAGUUGACCUUCGAAGGCCCAUCCACCUUUUAUCUCCAUUAUCCAUUAAAUUAGUUUUAUCCUACAUUGCACCAAAACAACGAGUAUAAAAUUGGGUUUUAUACUUUUAAUAUGAAAAAUCAGAUAAAAAAGAAAGAAUAGGAAAAAGAGCCAGCUAUUCUCAAAAUUAUAUGAAUUUCAUUGUUGCGAAAUUUCCUUAGAAUAUUGGAAACAAUUUAUACUACCACUUCUCUCUUCCUUGGUUCACAAAAGAAUUCAGUAUUUGAAAGAGAAGCAUAUUUGCACUUAUAUUUUAUUUAUCACGUGAGAGGAUUAUUAUAAAGGGUGCGUAGAUCUUUUAGAAGUCAAGAGUAAUUCUACUUUUAACACUCCAAGGAGAAGACUGGCCAACAAUCAUGUACAACAUGAUGCUUCUACAAUCUGCAGUGUUAAACCGAUUUUCAUAGAGAAAAACCACUGACAACAGAAAUAUAAGUUUGAAACAAAGUUCUUAGUCACUCAGUACACCUGAGUACGUCUUCCAGGAAACAUAAGGUAAUAAAAGCUAUGAUGUCUAAUACAAGCAUACUCCAGUAAGAUGUCUAAUUCAAUAUGUGUAUUCUUUCACAUUAAUGAGUGAUACGAAUUGAAGCUCCAGGUGUAUUUCAUGUUUUAAUAAGUGUUCAAGUUUAGAUUCAUUACCUGGAAAGCAGUAUCACAACCUAGCAGUAGUUAAUGACCAAAAAAGAAAACAAAUGCACAGACUGCCUGAACAAAUCAGUUUAACCGUGGUCUCAUGGAAAGUUGAAAUAGAAAAGGGAGUAAUGAUGGUUGGCCAAUACAUCUCAAAUCAGUAACAGAGACAGAAGAUUUAGGUGACAUAUGACACUCCCAUGUUUUGGAGAAUUAAGGAUUAGAUAGUAUCAUUUUUACCAAGCAAGAAGAUAUAGAAGGGCAAGCAAUUUGUGUGAGAACAAUAAUCCCAAUAUCUAAUAGACGUGAAGGCAAGCAGUUACCAGUUAGAUUAAAGCACAGACAUGAAUGAAUCUCACAAUUUUAAGUGAAAGUAGAACAAGCAUAACUGAACAGAAGUAAAAGAAUGUGUUUAUCAAAAAUAUUACUAGAGAAAGAAAAAAGGAGGAGCGAAACAAUUUUUCAGAAUAACCAAGACAUCGAACAUCGAACAUCGAAAGAAAAUAUCGAACAAGGAAAAUCUCAUGGUUUCUAACACAAAAUCAAAACCUAACAAAUAAAUCCCCCAAUUUUACAAACUAGAAAUCACAAAAUGUAUCAUGUAAUACAGACAAAGCAGAAGCAAAAUAAUGGGUUUAUCAGAAAUAUUACCAGAGAAAGAAAGCAGAAGAAGCAACAAAAUAAUUUUUCAGACUAGAGAAGAAGAAAGCGAAAAUCGAACAGUGAUAGAAAACACCUAACAGGGGAAAAAUUGAUAGCCUACCUCGGAGAUUGCUCGUAUAUUAGCCGAAACUGGUCGUCCUUCACCGGAAGUUGUCGUCCUUCGCCGGAGCUAGCCGAUUGGGUUCGUCGAUGGUGAGGUUAAGGCUUAUUGAGAGACGAUGUGUUUUCUGGUUUUGAGAGAGUGAGAGAUAGACGGAAGUUUCAUAAUAUGUUUUCGCUUAAAAUAU
rnacentral:lncRNA from 1 species